GCUCAACCGAGGAAGUGCUUCGAAAACUGGUAAACUUGAGUGCAGAAGAGGAAAGUGGAACUCCAUGUGUAGCGGUGGAAUGCGUAGAUAUAUGGAAGAACACCAGUGGCGAAGGCGGCUUUCUGGUCUGUAACUGACGCUGAGAUUCGAAAGCAUGGGUAGCAAACAGGAUUAGAUACCCUGGUAGUCCAUGCCGUAAACGAUGAGUGCUAAGUGUUGGAGGGUUUCCGCCCUUCAGUGCUGCAGCUAACGCAUUAAGCACUCCGCCUGGGGAGUACGAUCGCAAGAUUGAAACUCAAAGGAAUUGACGGGGGCCCGCACAAGCGGUGGAGCAUGUGGUUUAAUUCGAAGCAACGCGAAGAACCUUACCAGGUCUUGACAUACCAUGAAAAGCUAAGAGAUUAGUCUUUCCCUUCGGGGACAUGGAUACAGGUGGUGCAUGGUUGUCGUCAGCUCGUGUCGUGAGAUGUUGGGUUAAGUCCCGCAACGAGCGCAACCCUUAUUAUCAGUUGCCAGCAUUCAGUUGGGCACUCUGGUGAGACUGCCGGUGACAAACCGGAGGAAGGUGGGGACGACGUCAAAUCAUCAUGCCCCUUAUGACCUGGGGCUACACACGUGCUACAAUGGUCGGUACAACG
rnacentral:rRNA from 1 species